AGGACGAACGCUGGCGGCGUGCUUAACACAUGCAAGUCGAGCGGAAAGGCCCUUCGGGGUACUCGAGCGGCGAACGGGUGAGUAACACGUGAGCAACCUGCCCCUGGCUCUGGGAUAGCCUCCGGAAACGGGGAUUAAUACCGGACAUUCACUUCCUUCCGCAUGGUUGGUGGUGGAAAGUUUUUUCGGCCGGGGAGGGGCUCGCGGCCUAUCAGCUUGUUGGCGGGGUAACGGCCCACCAAGGCGACGACGGGUAGCCGGCCUGAGAGGGCGACCGGCCACACUGGGACUGAGACACGGCCCAGACUCCUACGGGAGGCAGCAGUGGGGAAUAUUGCGCAAUGGGCGGAAGCCUGACGCAGCGACGCCGCGUGGGGGAUGAAGGCCUUCGGGUUGUAAACCCCUUUCACCAGGAGCGAAUCCAGACGGUACCUGGGGAAGAGCGCCGGCUAACUACGCGCCAGCAGCCGC
rnacentral:rRNA from 1 species